rnacentral:rRNA from 1 species
UACGGAGGGUGCAAACGUUGCUCGGAAUCACUGGGCGUAAAGCGCACGUAGGCGGUCCGAUAAGUCUGAUGUGAAAGCCCGGGGCUCACCCCCGGAAGGGCAUUGGAAACUGGCGGACUCGAGUCCCGGAGAGGAAGGUGGAAUUCCUGGUGUAGCGGUGAAAUGCGUAGAUAUCAGGAGGAAUACCGGUGGCGAAGGCGGCCUUCUGGACGGUGACUGACGCUGAGACGCGAAAGCGUGGGGAGCAAACAGG